CCUACGGGUGGCUGCAGUGGGGAAUAUUGGGCAAUGGGCGCAAGCCUGACCCAGCAACGCCGCGUGAAGGAAGAAGGCUUUCGGGUUGUAAACUUCUUUUCUCAGGGACGAAGCAAGUGACGGUACCUGAGGAAUAAGCCACGGCUAACUACGUGCCAGCAGCCGCGGUAAUACGUAGGUGGCAAGCGUUAGCCGGAUUUACUGGGUGUAAAGGGCGAGUAGGCGGGACUGCAAGUCAGAUGUGAAAACCAAGGGCUCAACCUAAGGACUGCAUUUGAAACUGUAGUUCUUGAGUACUGGAGAGGCAGGCGGAAUUCCUAGUGUAGCGGUGAAAUGCGUAGAUAUUAGGAGGAAUACCCGUGGCGAAGGCGGUCUGCUGGACAGCAACUGACGCUGAGGCGCGAAAGCGUGGGGAGCAAACAGGAUUAGAUACCCUGGUAGUG
rnacentral:rRNA from 1 species